rnacentral:rRNA from 1 species
GCACGAAGGCGUGGGGAUCAAACAGGAUUAGAUACCCUGGUAGUCCACGCAGUAAACGAUGAUUACUUGCUGUUUGCGAUACACAGUAAGCGGCGUAGCGAAAGCGUUAAGUAAUCCACCUGGGGAGUACGUUCGCAAGAAUGAAACUCAAAGGAAUUGACGGGGGCCCGCACAAGCGGAGGAACAUGUGGUUUAAUUCGAUGAUACGCGAGGAACCUUACCUGGGCUUGAAUUGCAACUGACCGCUUUUGAAAGAGAGUUUUUCUUCGGAACAGUUGUGAAGGUGCUGCAUGGUUGUCGUCAGCUCGUGCCGUGAGGUGUCGGCUUAAGUGCCAUAACGAGCGCAACCCUUGUCGUCAGUUGCCAUCGGUUCAAGCCGGGGACUCUGACGAGACUGCCAUCGUAAGAUGCGAGGAAGGUGGGGAUGACGUCAAAUCAGCACGGCCCUUAUGUCCGGGGCGACACACGUGUUACAAUGGGCGGUACAGCGGGAAGCUACCCGGCGACGGGGAGCCGAUCCCGAAAUCCGCUCACAGUUCGGAUCGGAGUCUGCAACUCGACUCCGUGAAGUCGGAUUCGCUAGUAAUCGCGCAUCAGCCACGGCGCGGUGAAUACGUUCCCGGGCCUUGUACACACCGCCCGUCAAGCCAUGGAAGUCGGGGGUACCUGAAGUUCGUAACCCUUCGGGGAGCGACCCAGGGUAAAACCGGUGACUGGGGCUAAGUCGUAACAAGGUAGCCGUACCGGAAGGUGCGGCUG